rnacentral:rRNA from 1 species
CAGUCGCGGUAAGACAAGGGAGACGAGUGUUAUUCAUCUUUAUUCGGUAUAUAGGGUACCUAGACUGUGUAGAAAGGCUUUUAAAAUAGUACCUAUUACACUAGAGUUUAAUAUGUGAGAGGGAGAUGUCAGAAUUAUAGGUGGACCAGAUGAAAUGGUUUAAUACCUAUAGGACUGAUAACGGCGAAGGCAAACCUCUAUGUAUAUAUAUUUUAAUUAUUUGUAAUAAAAUAAGAUAAAAUAUUAAACUGACGUUGAGGGACGAAGGCUCAGAGAGUGAAGAGGAUUAGAUACCCCCGUAGCCUGGGCAGACAAUGAUGAGUGCCAUAGGUUGGCUUUAGGCUGAACUAUAAAUGAAAGUGGAAGCACUCCACCUCAAGAGUAAUGUGGCAACGCAGGAACUGAAAUCAUUAGACCGUUUCUGAAACCAGUAGUGAAGUAUGUUAUUUAAUUCGAUGAUCCUCGAAUAACCUUACCACAAUUUGAAUGCUCUAAAAUUAUAGCUAUAUGGUUAGUAUAACAUAUAGUUAAAUUAAAUAUAAUAUAUUAUUAUAUUUUUUAGACCACAUGCGUUGCAUGGCUGUCUUCAGUUAAUGUCGUGAGAUUUGGUUAGGUCCAUUAAAUUAACGUAAACCCUUGUCUUAUUUAAUAUAAUAAGGCAGCUCUCCGCUUACAUUGGAUGUGAUAA